UGGCGAACGGGUGAGUAACGCGUGAGGAACCUGCCUCAAAGAGGGGGACAACAGUUGGAAACGACUGCUAAUACCGCAUAAGCCCACGGGUCGGCAUCGACCUGAGGGAAAAGGAGCAAUCCGCUUUGAGAUGGCCUCGCGUCCGAUUAGCUAGUUGGUGAGGUAACGGCCCACCAAGGCGACGAUCGGUAGCCGGACUGAGAGGUUGACGGCCACAUUGGGACUGAGACACGGCCCAG
rnacentral:rRNA from 1 species